UAUAUUAAUAUUGUUGCAGUUAAAAAGCUCGUAGUUGAAAUUUGGGACUUUAUUAUAUUGGUUUAUCUUUUGAUGAACUGUAUGAUGGGUUUCUUCCUACUAGAAUUCGAUUCUGUUCUUAAUUGAAUGGAGUAGCUAUCUCUCGGGGUGGUCAAUUGGUUGUUAUGCCUCCACUAAUGAGCGGAGAGGGGUAAAAUCUUCAAAGUAAGUUAUGUGGGUCAAGGUAUAGUGGUUAAUUGGAGUUCUAGUUCAUUUACUUUGAGAAAAUUAGAGUGUUUAAAGCAGCCUCUUGGGGCACUGAAUACAUUAGCAUGGGAUAAUAAAAUAGGAUCUUCACAUUAUAUUUUAUUGGUUUAAACUGCAUAUGAAGAUAAUGAUUAAUAGGGACAGUUGGGGGUAUUCAUAUUGGGUGGUUAGCGGUGAAAUGCUCGGAUCCAUUCAAGAUGAACUAAAGCGAAAGCAUUUACCAAGGAUGUUUUCAUUAAUCAAGAACGAAAGUUAAGGGAUCGAAGACGAUUAGAUACCGUCGUAGUCUUAACUAUAAACUAUGCCGACCAGGGAUAUGAGUUGUUAGGAAUAUAUGAAAGUAUAUUCAAUUUCUUCUUAUGGACCUUGUGAGAAAUCAUAAGUUUUUGGGUUCUGGGGGGAGUA
rnacentral:rRNA from 1 species